rnacentral:lncRNA from 1 species
CCGAAUGAUAUUGCAUUUUACAACACGUUUUAAUCGCGGACGAGUACGCAUGUCGGAUAUUAGUAGUGGCUCGUCAUGAAUUUUUCAAUACCAUUUGUAUGCUUGUAGGCAUGAUGGACGGACCCUUCACGGGUUGUCGUCCACUCCCACAUCCCGAUCUAUGAAAUUAGCUUGCAAAUAUUGACAGAACGAGACUCGUACGAAAUUCAAAAUUCUCGUAACGAUUGAGUGAAGGAGUAAUGUAACCGCGUAUAUUCAUAAUUUAAACCGCGUAAUCAAUACUACCGCGAAAACAGAAAUCGUACAAUAACGCUCACCUCAACUCGGGUGACGCGAAACGUGAAUAAGAUCGGUAUUCGAGUAUCGGGAAAGACCGAUGAUGGCGGAAAUCGCAUUGAAACCGUUGGCCACGGUACUAAAAACGUUCCAUUCAAGUGUUGAAAUCCUUCAAUCUCAACGGUUAAGCCCGCCUGCCUGUAAACACGACUACAUCAAAGCGGAGAUCCAGCUUUCAGAGCGUUCGACUCAAUUUUCGCACAGUCAUGCGAGUCGAGCGUUAUGUAAGUUUGCACAACACCAUUAUUGCUGUACAGGUGUGCCGACACCCACUCGCAAGUUACUCAUAGCGGACCAAUUUCCGGGAAAAUCACCUUGUAGUUGAUUACUUAAUUUCGGGCAGAAUGCUGAUCGGAUAAGACUGCACAUUUUCUUCCUCAUGUGCGAAAAAUACGGCCAAAAAUAAGCACGGUGUAUUGGAAAUAUUUCACCAUUUUCUUUUAACUCGCAGCAGCGAAUUACGACUCGAAAUGCGUUAUGCUCAACAAUUGGCCCGUUCAUCGCAUGUUCUUCUACGGCUAACUAUAAAUCAUGCUGUUACACAACAAACGUCAUAAGUUUGCUGCGCACGAAAUGACAAAUCACUUUUGUGACUAUUAACCGUGACUCCGGCGUACUCAGUCAAAUAUUUCACAGGAUAAACGUUUAAAAGUGCCACUUGGUAAGGAUUUUUCAUGAUUUCGGAUUAACGUAUUUGAGCAAGACCGCAGAGAAGAUGGUGCCCAAAUAUUGCGACUUUCAACUGCUGUAUGAUCUCUAAAGUGCCAGUAUAUGCACUAUUUGUGUAACUGGUUUUUGAUACAGCUUCGAACCAGGACAAUCAUCCGAAUUAGUUACGGCUGCUGAGGCUUUCGAGUUUCGUGCAGAACUCCGGCAAUAUCAGCGGAUGGCAGUCCAUGAUUUACCGACGGCUGAAAGAACCUUCACCGUGCGUAGCAACAAUCGAAUUCAAAUCGUUCAAUUCUGCAGACGUACCAACUGCAGUAACGUUCAUGAGAUGAUUGUAAUCGGCGGUUGAACAUAUUAAAUUUAAAAAAUUACUUCCUCAAUCGGGUAAGGAGCAGACUGCGGGUAACUUACAAUUGUGGGUCAAAGUGCUGAACCAUCUUGAAAUAAGAUAAAGUAUUACAUGGAUAGCUAAAGAUUAAAAAUUCAAUAGGAGAAAUUUUUCUGUUUAAAUAAAAUAGAUUUGUUGGAUCUAUCGCUAUCAA